CAGUCGCCGCGGGAACACAGAGGGUGCGAGCGUUAAUCGGAUUUACUGGGCGUAAAGCGUGCGUAGGCGGCUUCUUAAGUCGGAUGUGAAAUCCCUGAGCUUAACUUAGGAAUUGCAUUCGAUACUGGGAAGCUAGAGUAUGGGAGAGGAUGGUAGAAUUCCAGGUGUAGCGGUGAAAUGCGUAGAGAUCUGGAGGAAUACCGAUGGCGAAGGCAGCCAUCUGGCCUAAUACUGACGCUGAGGUACGAAAGCAUGGGGAGCAAACAGGAUUAGAUACCCGGGUAGUCCCUGUCUCUUAUAC
rnacentral:rRNA from 1 species